rnacentral:rRNA from 1 species
CCUACGGGAGGCAGCAGUGGGGAAUAUUGGGCAAUGGAGGCAACUCUUACCCAGCAAUGCCGCGUGAAUGAAGAAGGUCUUCGGAUUGUAAAGUUCUUUAAUCGGGGACGAAAAAAAUGACGGUACCUAAGGAAUAAGCCCCGGCUAACUACGUGCCAGCAGCCGCGGUAAUACGUAGGGGGCAAGCGUUGUUCGGAAUGACUGGGCGUAAAGGGUGUGUAGGCGGUGUAGUAAGGUAGAAGUGAAAUACCUAGAGCUUAACCCAGGAUCUGCAUCUAAAACUACUAUACUUGAGUACAGGAGAGGAAAGUGGAAUUCCUAGUGUAGCGGUGGAAUGCGUAGAUAUUAGGAAGAACAUCAGUGGCGAAGGCGACUUUCUGGACUGUAACUGACGCUGAGGCACGAAAGCGUGGGGAGCGAACAGGAUUAGAUACCCCAGUAGUC